CUUAAGGGCUGACUGCCGUUGGGGAAGGAACUCUGGUUGGAGAUCCCUUCUCUGUGGAGUCUUUCCUCUGAGCAUAGAUCUUUGGAGAUGGGCUCUGGCCUUGCUUUCUCACAAAAGCCUUUGCAUCAAUAAAAGCACCCUCAAGGCUUCUUUGCUUCACCAAUCCACCCAUUCAGAGAAGGGGACUGAAUUCUUUGUGACUUCUCCAUUGUCAAACUUGGUACAGAUUCAUGAGCAAAAAUUAAAGCAGUUUGUGUAAAGAAUGGAGUGACGCAAACCUCAUCUUCCUA
ensembl:lncRNA